rnacentral:siRNA from 1 species
UUUGGUCAGCCCUGAUAUUGGUA